UACGGAGGGUGCAAGCGUUGUUCGGAUUUACUGGGUGUAAAGGGUGCGUAGGUGGCUUGAAAAGUUUGAUGUGAAAGCUCAGGGCUUAACCCUGAAAUGGCAUUGAAUACUGUCGAGCUGGAGGUUUGGAGGGGGGACUGGAAUUCUUGGUGUAGCAGUGAAAUGCGUAGAUAUCAAGAGGAACACCAGUGGCGAAGGCGAGUCCCUGGACAACACCUGACACUGAGGCACGAAAGCUAGGGGAGCAAACAGG
rnacentral:rRNA from 1 species